rnacentral:rRNA from 1 species
UGCCAGUAGUCAUAUGCUUGUCUCAAAGAUUAAGCCAUGCAUGUCUAAGUAUAAACAAAUCUAUACUGUGAAACUGCGAAUGGCUCAUUAUAUCAGUUAUAGUUUAUUUGAAGGUCCUUGCUACUUGGAUAACCGUAGUAAUUCUAGAGCUAAUACAUGCAUCAAACCCCGACUUUUGGAAGGGGUGUAUUUAUUAGAUGGAGACCAAUGCGGGGCAACCCGGUAAAUGGUGAUUCAUAAUAACUUUCGGAUCGGUCUUCGGAUCGAUGCUUCAUUCAAGUUUCUGCCCUAUCAGCUUUGGAUGGUAGGGUAUUGGCCUACCAUGGCUUUAACGGGUAACGGAGAAUUAGGGUUCGAUUCCGGAGAGGGAGCCUGAGAAAUGGCUACCACAUCCAAGGAAGGCAGCAGGCGCGUAAAUUACCCAAUCCUGGCACAGGGAGGUAGUGACAAUAAAUAACAAUGCCGGGCUUUUUAAGUCUGGCAAUUGGAAUGAGAACAAUUUAAAUCCCUUAUCGAGGAUCAAUUGGAGGGCAAGUCUGGCGCCAGCAGCCGCGGUAAUUCCAGCUCCAAUAGCGUAUACUAAAGUUGUUGCAGUUAAAAAGCUCGUAGUUGAAUUUCUGGUCUUGGAUUUCGGUCUGCCUCAAACGAGGUAUGUACCAGGGAUCUGAGACCAUCCUCGAGGAAAACGUAUCUGUCAUUAAGUUAAUGGGUAUGGGAUCCUCGUCAUUUACUGUGAGCAAAAUAGGGUGUUCAAAGCAGGCUUAUGCCGUUGAAUACAUUAGCAUGGAAUAAUAAGAUAAGACCUUGGUCUAUUUUGUUGGUUUGUACUCCAAGGUAAUGAUUAAUAGGGAUAGUUGGGGGUAUUUGUAUUCAAUUGUCAGAGGUGAAAUUCUUGGAUUUAUGGAAGACAAACUACUGCGAAAGCAUUCACCAAGGAUGUUUUCAUUAAUCAAGAACGAAAGUUAGGGG